rnacentral:rRNA from 1 species
AGUCGAACGGUAACAGGAAAUAGCUUGCUAUUUUGCUGACGAGUGGCGCACGGGUGCGUAACGCGUAUACAAUCUACCUUUUGCUGAGGGAUAGCCCACAGAAAUUUGGAUUAAUACCUCAUGGUAUUAUUGAUAGGCAUCUAUUAAUAAUUAAAGGUUACGGCAAAAGAUGAGUAUGCGUCCCAUUAGCUAGUUGGUGAAGUAACGGUUCACCAAGGCAACGAUGGGUAGGGGUCCUGAGAGGGAGAUCCCCCACACUGGUACUGAGACACGGACCACACUCCUACGGGAGGCAGCAGUGAGGAAUAUUGGACAAUGGGCGAGAGCCUGAUCCAGCCAUGCCGCGUGCAGGAAGACUGCCCUAUGGGUUGUAAACUGCUUUUAUACAGGAAGAAUAAGCCUUACCUGUAAGGUGAUGACGGUACUGUAAGAAUAAAGACCGGUUAACUCCGUGCCAACACCCGCGGUAAUACGGAGGGCCCCAGCGUUAUCCGGAAUUAUUGGGUUUAAAGGGGCCCCAAGGGGGAUGAUUAAAUCAGGGGUGAAAGUUUGCACCUCAACUGUAAAAAUUGCCUUUGAUAAUGGCCCUCUUGAGUUGUAAUUGAAAAAAGCGGAAAAUGUAAUGGUACCGGGGAAAAUGCUAAAUUUUUCCAUAAAACACCAAUUGCCAAAGGGGGUUACUAAAACCUAACUGACCCCUAAUGGACAAAAAAAUGGGUUAGCGAAACAAGAUAAAAAACCCUGGGAGUCCCCCCCCCAAAAAAAAGGAAACUACCUGUU